rnacentral:rRNA from 1 species
GACGAACGCUGGUGGCGUGCUUAACACAUGCAAGUCGAACGGGAUUUAGUAAACAGAAGCCUCGGUGGAAGAUUACUAAUGAGAGUGGCGAACGGGUGAGUAACGCGUGAGCAACCUGCCUAUGACAGUGGGAUAGCCUCGGGAAACCGGGAUUAAUACCGCAUAAAAUCGUAGAAACACAUGUUUUAACGGUCAAAGAUUUAUCGGUCGUAGAUGGGCUCGCGUCUGAUUAGCUAGUUGGUGAGAUAACAGCCCACCAAGGCGACGAUCAGUAGCCGGUCUGAGAGGAUGAACGGCCACAUUGGAACUGAGACACGGUCCAAACUCCUACGGGAGGCAGCAGUGGGGAAUAUUGCACAAUGGGGGAAACCCUGAUGCAGCGACGCCGCGUGAACGAAGAAGGUAUUCGUAUCGUAAAGUUCUGUCCUAUGGGAAGAUAAUGACAGUACCAGAGAAGAAAGCUCCGGCUAAAUACGUG